AAUGUUAGUGUCUGUGGUGUUGGAGGUUGUUAAUGUUAGUGUCUGUGGUGUUGGAGGAGGUGGUUAAUGUUAGAGUCUGUGGUGUUGGAGGUUGUUAAUGUUAGUGUCUGUGGUGUUGGAGGAGGUUGUUAAUGUUAGUGUCUGUGGUGUUGGAGGAGGUUAAUGUUAGAGUCUGUGGUGUUGGAGGUUGUUAAUGUCUGUGGUGUUGGAGGUUGGUAAUGCUAGUGUCUGUGGUGUUGGAUUUUGUUAAUGUUAGUGUCUGUGGUGUUGGACGUUGUUAAUGGUAGUGUCUGUGGUGUUGCAGGAGGUUGUUAAUGUUAGUGUCUGUGGUGCUGGAGGAGGUUGUUAAUGUUAGUGUCUGUGGUGCUGGAGGAGGUUGUUAAUGUUAGUGUCUGUGGUGUUGGAGGUUGUUACUGUUAGUGUCUGUGGUGUUGGAGGAGGUUAAUGUUAGAGUCUGUGGUGUUGGAGGUUGUUAAUGUUAGUGUCUGUGGUGUUGGAGGUUGUUAAUGUUAGUGUCUGUGGUGUUAGAGGUUGUUAUUAAUGUUACUGUCUGUGGUCCUGGAGGUUGUUAUUAAUGUUACUGUCUGUGGUGUUUGAAGUUGUUAAUGUUAGUGUCUGUGGUGUUGAAGGUUGUUAUUAAUGUUAAUGUCUGUGGUGUUGGAGGUUGUUAAUGUUAGUGUCUGUGGUGUUGGAGGCUGUUAAUGUUAGCGUCUGUGGUGUUGAAGGUUGUUAUUAAUGUUAGUGUCUGUGGUGUUGGAGGUUGUUAAUGUUAGUGUCUGUGGUGUUGGAGGUUGUUAAUGUUAGUGUCUGUGGUGUUAGAGGUUGUUAUUAAUGUUAGUGUCUGUGGUGUUGGAGGUUGUUAAUGUUAGUGUCUGUGGUGUUGGAGGUUGUUAAUGUUAGAGCCUGUGGUGUUGGAGGUUGUUAAUGUUAGUGUCUGUGGUGUUAGAGGUUGUUAUUAAUGUUAGUGUCUGUGGUGUUGGAGGUUGUUAAUGUUAGUGUCUGUGGUGUUGGAAGUUGUUAAUGUUAGUGUCUGUAUUGUUUGAAGUUGUUAAUGUUAGUGUCUGUGGUGUUGGACGUUGUUAAUGUUAGUGUCUGUGGUGUUGGAGGUUGUUAUUAAUGUUACUGUCUGUGGUGUUGGAGGUUGUUAAUGUUAGUGUCUGUAUUGUUGGAAGUUGUUAAUGUUAGUGUCUGUGGUGUUGGAGGUUGUUAAUGUUAGUGUCUGUUGUGUUGGAGGUUGUUAAUGUUAGUGUCAGUUGUGUUGGAGGUUGCUAAUGUUAGUGUCUGUAGUGUUGGAGGUUGUUAAUGUUAGUGUCUGUUGUGUUGGAGGUUGUUAAUGUUAGUGUCUGUGGUGUAGGAGGUUGUUAAUGUUAGUGUCUGUGGUGUUGGAAGUUGUUAAUGUUAGAGUCUGUGGUGUUGGAAGUUGUUAAUG
ensembl:lncRNA